GUCGAGCGAGGUCUUCGGGCCUAGCGGCGGACGGGUGAGUAACGCGUGGGAACGUGCCCUUUGCUACGGAAUAGUCCCGGGAAACUGGGUUUAAUACCGUAUGUGCCCUCCAUUUUGGUGAUGGUUGGGGAAAGAUUUAUCGGCAAAGGAUCGGCCCGCGUUGGAUUAGGUAGUUGGUGGGGUAAUGGCCUACCAAGCCGACGAUCCAUAACUGGUUUGAGAGGAUGAUCAGCCACACUGGGACUGAGACACGGCCCAAACUCCUACGGGAGGCAGCAGUGGGGAAUCUUAGACAAUGGGGGCAACCCUGAUCUAGCCAUGCCGCGUGAGUGAUGAAGGCCUUAGGGUUGUAAAGCUCUUUCAGCUGGGAAGAUAAUGACGGUACCAGCAGAAGAAGCCCCGGCUAACUCCGUGCCAGCAGCCGCGGUAAUACGGAGGGGGCUAGCGUUGUUCGGAAUUACUGGGCGUAAAGCGCACGUAGGCGGACUGGAAAGUUGGGGGUGAAAUCCCGGGGCUCAACCUCGGAACUGCCUUCAAAACUAUCAGUCUGGAGUUCGAGAGAGGUGAGUGGAAUUCCGAGUGUAGAGGUGAAAUUCGUAGAUAUUCGGAGGAACACCAUUGGCGAAGGCGGCUCACUGGCUCGAUACUGACGCUGAGGUGCGAAAGCGUGAGGAGCAAACAGGAUUAGAUACCCUGGUAGUCCACGC
rnacentral:rRNA from 1 species